rnacentral:rRNA from 1 species
GGCUUGCGCAGCUACACAUGCAGUCCGAACGGUAGCACAGAGAGCUUGCUCUCGGGUGACGAGUGGCGGACGGGUGAGUAAUGUCUGGGAAACUGCCUGAUGGAGGGGGAUAACUACUGGAAACGGUAGCUAAUACCGCAUAACGUCGCAAGACCAAAGAGGGGGACCUUCGGGCCUCUUGCCAUCAGAUGUGCCCAGAUGGGAUUAGCUAGUAGGUGGGGUAACGGCUCACCUAGGCGACGAUCCCUAGCUGGUCUGAGAGGAUGACCAGCCACACUGGAACUGAGACACGGUCCAGACUCCUACGGGAGGCAGCAGUGGGGAAUAUUGCACAAUGGGCGCAAGCCUGAUGCAGCCAUGCCGCGUGUAUGAAGAAGGCCUUCGGGUUGUAAAGUACUUUCAGCGGGGAGGAAGGUGUUGUGGUUAAUAACCGCAGCAAUUGACGUUACCCGCAGAAGAAGCACCGGCUAACUCCGUGCCAGCAGCCGCGGUAAUACGGAGGGUGCAAGCGUUAAUCGGAAUUACUGGGCGUAAAGCGCACGCAGGCGGUCUGUCAAGUCGGAUGUGAAAUCCCCGGGCUCAACCUGGGAACUGCAUUCGAAACUGGCAGGCUGGAGUCUUGUAGAGGGGGGUAGAAUUCCAGGUGUAGCGGUGAAAUGCGUAGAGAUCUGGAGGAAUACCGGUGGCGAAGGCGGCCCCC